GAAGUAAUGGCCUACGUUGUCGAACAUUCAGACCCACUGGAGGCGUUCUAUAGCCUGGAGCCCGCUGAUAAGGAUUUUGAUGCGACUUGACUGGAAUUGCACCCACAGCCUUUUGUCAGGCCUGUGACAGGCUGACUGUGGUUGCAAGAUGUUAGCCGAAGCCCCACACCAUGAUUAGGGCAUUGGUUCUUGGUCAUCGGUUACCUUAAAGAGGUACCACAGCCUGGCGUUAUUCUCCGUUGACAAUAGAUCCCUGCAAAGUGUACUUGACUGGCUGCACCUGUCUAACACGACUGCAACCAGCAGCUGGAGUGGGUGCUGCAUGGUGUUCAAAGCACAUGUCCAUUACCCGUGGCCAGUGCCCGUCAGUGGUGUAACUACCAUUCUCAUCAAACAUCACAAGCUGCUUGGAGUUCCAGUUUUGACGAAACUUGCUGGUCUCUAGGAUUCUUAAUCCUUGUAUUUGCUUCCUACACCAGCCACAGUGUUUUUCUUCCCUCGUUCCUUUUUUUCAUCCUUUU